rnacentral:lncRNA from 1 species
AUGCCUGGCUGCUCGCCGCCUCUCGUGCAAGCGGCAGCCGAGGAGCGAAGCAGCCCGGCGCGCAGCGGAGGGGCUUCGUGGUGGCGGGCGGCCGCCCGCGGAGCGGCACACUUGCUCUGCGGAAGCGCUGCGGUGCGGCCGGCCGGGGAUGGCAGGAGGCUCUGCGGUCUGAUGGUUAGGCGCUGRUGUGGUCGAGCUCCUGCUUCUCCACACAUCCCCUUUCAAGCGCUGCGGCUCAGUUCCUUCUCCACCAGGGAGCUGGCCGGGCCGGGGGGGGGAUCUGGCUCGGUGCACGGGGAGACCCAGCAGCGGGGCAGAGCCUGGUCUUGUGCUACCUGGAGCCGUGUGCCGCGAGACCCCUCGGGGGCCGUGGGGGUCCCCGUGCAGCCCCUCCUGCCGGGGCCGCAUCCUCGGAGAUGCUUGCAGACGUGGAGGGCGCAGGCUGUGGUCCCGGCCCCCCGGCCCCCCCGCGCCGCUUUCCAGGGCGUUGGUUGUGGUUUCCGCAGAUCUGUGCAUGGCAUUCGGCGCUGUCACGCUACCGCCUCAUCUGGUGACGGGCACUGGCCCGCGUUGCCUUGGCAGCCGCAGUUCGAGAGCCCGCGUAUGAGUGUUCAGGAAACCAGCGUCUCGUGGUGCCCCUUGCCGCGGCCGCCCCGGGCUGCGCGAGGGGGGCUCUGCCUCUCCCCGCUGCAAGCCCAGCUGCAGCGGCUGGAUGCCAGAUGGCACGCACGCACAGCGCAGGGCACCUUGGCGGGAGCCCGGGGCCGGCGUCCCUGGCACCUGCCCAGGGCUGUUCAAAGGGCGUCCCCUCCCCAAGGUCACACCUGCCGGGGCCAGUCAUCCCUGGCUGAGCCGUGCCAGCGCUGCCCCCCCGCCAGGCGCAUCCCAGAUGGGCUCCGGCACCGCCGGGCGCGCGGGGCCCUGCUGGCGUCGCGCCUCCCCGCCGUGCCGUGCCGUGCCGUGUCGGCGCAGGGCUCCUGGGCUCCCUCUGCAGAUGCAGCGCCGGCUGGCGCAGGGCUCAGCUGCAGGGUUUGGCCCUGGGUGCCCGUGCUGCUCGCGUGGUGCUGCAGCGCUCGGCGGGUGGCUGGGCACCUGCUGAGCUGA